rnacentral:rRNA from 1 species
CUACGGGGGGCAGCAGUGGGGAAUAUUGCACAAUGGGCGCAAGCCUGAUGCAGCCAUGCCGCGUGUAUGAAGAAGGCCUUCGGGUUGUAAAGUACUUUCAGCGGGGAGGAAGGGAGUAAAGUUAAUACCUUUGCUCAUUGACGUUACCCGCAGAAGAAGCACCGGCUAACUCCGUGCCAGCAGCCGCGGUAAUACGGAGGGUGCAAGCGUUAAUCGGAAUUACUGGGCGUAAAGCGCACGCAGGCGGUUGUUAAGUCAGAUGUGAAAUCCCCGGGCUCAACCUGGGAACUGCAUCGGAUACUGGCAAGCUUGAGGCUCGUAGAGGGGGGUAGAAUUCCAGGUGUAGCGGUGAAAUGCGUAGAGAUCUGGAGGAAUACCGGUGGCGAAGGCGGCCCCCUGGACGAAGACUGACGCUCAGGUGCGAAAGCGUGGGGAGCAAACAGGAUUAGAUACCCUAGUAGUC